UGCUCAUGAAUAUGAGCCUCUAGCAUGGCUUGAAACUAGUCGAGUUCCUCGUCAAACAGUUACGUGAGUAAGCCGAUAACAUAAUAAUUAAUUUAGUAUAUCUCACGAAAGUUAUAAUAAAAAGUUAUACAUACGGUCUAAAAAUCACAUCAAAAUGCCUAAAUAUAUAUUUUGUUUACACUAUAAUGUAAAGGCAUUUUGUCUGUCUAGAUAUUUUGUUUCGAAAAUUUUACAAUAGGUAUUUUAAACUUAAUUUAUUAGACUUUGAAAAAUGUUUACCAAUUUUAUUCCCGAAAUUAUUUGUAGUACAACGCCAUCUAUGAGUGGACAUUUGAACUAAAUCAAAUGAAUGAUCAUUUUGAACUCUAAAAUCAAGCAUUUAUACAAAUAUAGUGCAUUUUUUUAUUAUGUUUAAUGGACUAUUCACGUAACUGUUUGACGAGGUAUACUGGAUUUAUUUCCACUGCCAAUUAGUUGCUCUUGAUUAUGAGCCCUGGUGUGGGUCGAAACUAAUUGAGUUACCCCGUCGAGCAGUUUCGGGAAUAAACUUAUUUUUUGUUAGAUUAGAUACAGUGUAGAGAUUGUCCAGUCAACUGAUGGUAGCGAGGUUCACUGUCCAGUGACACACGUACGCUGGUAUCGUCAUGAGCUAAUGUCGACAUGUAAACAGUGACUCGUGUAGUGUAGAGAUUGUCAAGACGUCCACAGAUUCACCUGGUUUGAAUUAAAUAAUUAUUUUUGUGUUGAAUAGUCCAUUUAUCGAGGAAGGCUAUAAAACAUCACGCUACAACAAAUAGGAGCCUAGCAGCGGACAGUAGCUAGUCUAUAAGAAACCGGGAUGAUAUCAAAUUCGGUAAUUUACGGCCGUACUCGAAAACAUUUAAUGAUUACUUAAACUAUACCUUAGUAACGAGUUAGACCUUGUUCCGAAAAUAAUUGCUAAGGACUGGGUUAAGUAAGCAUUAAAUGAUUCUGAGUACGGCAGUUAUGUGACGUCUUGUGUGAGCGAUUUAGACGCGAAUCCAACGCGAUGCGGUGUGACGCGGCGGCUAUGUCCUACGUACAUGUUUCCUGAUGGGUAUAACCUGGGGCCUUAGUCUGCUAUUACAAUUGUGUUACAAUGGUCGAUCACUGAGCAGUGCAAGAGAGACGGAGCUAUGUAGGUUGUAUAGCUCCGUCCCUCUCGCACUGCUCAAUGAUCGACCAUUCUGACACAAUUGUAAUAGCAGACUAAGGCCCCUGGGUGUCUUCAAAGCCCGAGUGAAUAGGUUGCUUAUGGGCAGACGUGCUCCACCGUAGGCCGCAUCAUCACUUACCAUCAGGCGAGAUAGGUUCGCGUUCGCGUCUAUUUCGCUAGCGCGGGCGUCGCGUUAGUGUUUUUUAAAAGUUCUUGUGAAGUUUGAAAGAGAAAGCAAUAUAUUUUUUGAUUGCUCAAUGUUGAACGAGUGUGUAAAUCGCUAUACGAAAUAAAUGUUGUAAUAUAUUCCAUAA